UACGGAGGGUGCAAACGUUGCUCGGAAUCAUUGGGCGUAAAGCGCACGUAGGCGGCCUGAUAAGUCGGGUGUGAAAGCCCUGGGCUCAACCCAGGAAGUGCACUCGAAACUGUCAGGCUUGAAUAUGGAAGAGGGUCGCGGAAUUCCCGGUGUAGAGGUGAAAUUCGUAGAUAUCGGGAGGAACACCAGUGGCGAAGGCGGCGACCUGGGCCAAUGAC
rnacentral:rRNA from 1 species